GAUGAACGCUGGCGGCGUGCUUAAUACAUGCAAGUCGAGCGAACGGACGAGAAGCUUGCUUCUCUGAUGUUAGCGGCGGACGGGUGAGUAACACGUGGAUAACCUACCUAUAAGACUGGGAUAACUUCGGGAAACCGUAGCUAAUACCGGAUAAUAUUUUGAACCGCAUGGUUCAAAAGUGAAAGACGGUCUUGCUGUCACUUAUAGAUGGAUCCGCGCUGCAUUAGCUAGUUGGUAAGGUAACGGCUUACCAAGGCAACGAUGCAUAGCCGACCUGAGAGGGUGACCGGCCACACUGGAACUGAGACACGGUCCAGACUCCUACGGGAGGCAGCAGUAGGGAAUCUUCCGCAAUGGGCGAAAGCCUGACGGAGCAACGCCGCGUGAGUGAUGAAGGUCUUCGGAUCGUAAAACUCUGUUAUUAGGGAAGAACAUAUGUGUAAGUAACUGUGCACAUCUUGACGGUACCUAAUCAGAAAGCCACGGCUAACUACGUG
rnacentral:rRNA from 1 species